CGUGUACGGCCCGCCCAUAGCUCCUUCGACGGCGCCGCCUAGGAACGCGGAGAAAAUAUGACAAAGGAACGGCCAAAAAUAAAAAGAAAGACCUUUCUUUUGAAAAAACAAACAAAAAAAAAGGAAUGCAACACGAGGACUUCCCAGGAGGUCACCCAUCCUAGUACUACUCUCGCCCAAGCACGCUUAACUUCGGAGUUCUGAUGGGAUCCGGUGCUUUAGUGCUGGUAUGAUCGCAUCCGACAUACCGUGCGUUCUCCUCCCCUUUAUGCCCGCGCCUCCGUGUACGGCCCGCCCAUAGCUCCUUCGACGGCGCCGCCUAGGAACGCGGAGAAAAUAUGACAAAGGAACGGCCAAAAAUAAAAAGAAAGACCUUUCUUUUGAAAAAACAAACAAAAAAAAGGAAUGCAACACGAGGACUUCCCAGGAGGUCACCCAUCCUAGUACUACUCUCGCCCAAGCACGCUUAACUUCGGAGUUCUGAUGGGAUCCGGUGCUUUAGUGCUGGUAUGAUCGCAUCCGACAUACCGUGCGUUCUCCUCCCCUUUAUGCCCGCGCCUCCGUGUACGGCCCGCCCAUAGCUCCUUCGACGGCGCCGCCUAGGAACGCGGAGAAAAUAUGACAAAGGAACGGCCAAAAAUAAAAAGAAAGACCUUUCUUUUGAAAAAACAAACAAAAAAAAGGAAUGCAACACGAGGACUUCCCAGGAGGUCACCCAUCCUAGUACUACUCUCGCCCAAGCACGCUUAACUUCGGAGUUCUGAUGGGAUCCGGUGCUCUAGUGCUGGUAUGAUCGCAUCCGACAUACCGUGCGUUCUCCUCCCCUUUAUGCCCGCGCCUCCGUGUACGGCCCGCCCAUAGCUCCUUCGACGGCGCCGCCUAGGAACGCGGAGAAAAUAUGACAAAGGAACGGCCAAAAAUAAAAAGAAAGACCUUUCUUUUGAAAAAACAAACAAAAAAAAAGGAAUGCAACACGAGGACUUCCCAGGAGGUCACCCAUCCUAGUACUACUCUCGCCCAAGCACGCUUAACUUCGGAGUUCUGAUGGGAUCCGGUGCUUUAGUGCUGGUAUGAUCGCAUCCGACAUACCGUGCGUUCUCCUCCCCUUUAUGCCCGCGCCUCCGUGUACGGCCCGCCCAUAGCUCCUUCGACGGCGCCGCCUAGGAACGCGGAGAAAAUAUGACAAAGGAACGGCCAAAAAUAAAAAGAAAGACCUUUCUUUUGAAAAAACAAACAAAUAAAAGGAAUGCAACACGAGGACUUCCUAGGAGGUCACCCAUCCUAGUACUACUCUCGCCCAAGCACGCUUAACUUCGGAGUUCUAAUGGGAUCCGGUGCUUUAGUGCUGGUAUGAUCGCAUCCGACAUACCGUGCGUUCUCCUCCCCUUUAUGCCCGCGCCUCCGUGUACGGCCCGCCCAUAGCUCCUUCGACGGCGCCGCCUAGGAACGCGGAGAAAAUAUGACAAAGGAACGGCCAAAAAUAAAAAGAAAGACCUUUCUUUUGAAAAAACAAACAAAAAAAAGGAAUGCAACACGAGGACUUCCCAGGAGGUCACCCAUCCUAGUACUACUCUCGCCCAAGCACGCUUAACUUCGGAGUUCUGAUGGGAUCCGGUGCUUUAGUGCUGGUAUGAUCGCAUCCGACAUACCGUGCGUUCUCCUCCCCUUUAUGCCCGCGCCUCCGUGUACGGCCCGCCCAUAGCUCCUUCGACGGCGCCGCCUAGGAACGCGGAGAAAAUAUGACAAAGGAACGGCCAAAAAUAAAAAGAAAGACCUUUCUUUUGAAAAAACAAACAAAAAAAAGGAAUGCAACACGAGGACUUCCCAGGAGGUCACCCAUCCUAGUACUACUCUCGCCCAAGCACGCUUAACUUCGGAGUUCUGAUGGGAUCCGGUGCUUUAGUGCUGGUAUGAUCGCAUCCGACAUACCGUGCGUUCUCCUCCCCUUUAUGCCCGCGCCUCCGUGUACGGCCCGCCCAUAGCUCCUUCGACGGCGCCGCCUAGGAACGCGGAGAAAAUAUGACAAAGGAACGGCCAAAAAUAAAAAGAAAGACCUUUCUUUUGAAAAAACAAACAAAAAAAAGGAAUGCAACACGAGGACUUCCCAGGAGGUCACCCAUCCUAGUACUACUCUCGCCCAAGCACGCUUAACUUCGGAGUUCUGAUGGGAUCCGGUGCUUUAGUGCUGGUAUGAUCGAAUCCGACAUACCGUGCGUUCUCCUCCCCUUUAUGCCCGCGCCUCCGUGUACGGUCCGCCCAUAGCUCCUUCGACGGCGCCGCCUAGGAACGCGGAGAAAAUAUGACAAAGGAACGGCCAAAAAUAAAAAGAAAGACCUUUCUUUUGAAAAAACAAACAAAUAAAAGGAAUGCAACACGAGGACUUCCCAGGAGGUCACCCAUCCUAGUACUACUCUCGCCCAAGCACGCUUAACUUCGGAGUUCUGAUGGGAUCCGGUGCUUUAGUGCUGGUAUGAUCGCAUCCGACAUACCGUGCGUUCUCCUCCCCUUUAUGCCCGCGCCUCCGUGUACGGCCCGCCCAUAGCUCCUUCGACGGCGCCGCCUAGGAACGCGGAGAAAAUAUGACAAAGGAACGGCCAAAAAUAAAAAGAAAGACCUUUCUUUUGAAAAAACAAACAAAUAAAAGGAAUGCAACACGAGGACUUCCCAGGAGGUCACCCAUCCUAGUACUACUCUCGCCCAAGCACGCUUAACUUCGGAGUUCUGAUGGGAUCCGGUGCUUUAGUGCUGGUAUGAUCGCAUCCGACAUACCGUGCGUUCUCCUCCCCUUUAUGCCCGCGCCUCCGUGUACGGCCCGCCCAUAGCUCCUUCGACGGCGCCGCCUAGGAACGCGGAGAAAAUAUGACAAAGGAACGGCCAAAAAUAAAAAGAAAGACCUUUCUUUUGAAAAAACAAACAAAAAAAAGGAAUGCAGCACCAGGACUUCCCGGAAGGUCACCCAUCCAAAUACAACUCUCGCCGAACCACGUUUAACUUCGAAUUUCUAAUGGAAUCCGGGGCUUUAGAGCUGGAAUGAUCGCAUCCGACAUACCGUGCGUUCUCCUCCCCUUUAUGCCCGCGCCUCCGUGUACGGCCCGCCCAUAGCUCCUUCGACGGCGCCGCCUAGGAACGCGGAGAAAAUAUGACAAAGGAGCGGCCAAAAAUAAAAAGAAAGACCUUUCUUUUGAAAAAACAAACAAAUAAAAGGAAUGCAACACGAGGACUUCCUAGGAGGUCACCCAUCCUAGUACUACUCUCGCCCAAGCACGCUUAACUUCGGAGUUCUGAUGGGAUCCGGUGCUUUAGUGCUGGUAUGAUCGCAUCCGACAUACCGUGCGUUCUCCUCCCCUUUAUGCCCGCGCCUCCGUGUACGGCCCGCCCAUAGCUCCUUCGACGGCGCCGCCUAGGAACGCGGAGAAAAUAUGACAAAGGAACGGCCAAAAAUAAAAAGAAAGACCUUUCUUUUGAAAAAACAAACGCCUCCGUGUACGGCCCGCCCAUAGCUCCUUCGACGGCGCCGCCUAGGAACGCGGAGAAAAUAUGACAAAGGAACGGCCAAAAAUAAAAAGAAAGACCUUUCUUUUGAAAAAACAAACAAAAAAAAGGAAUGCAACACGAGGACUUCCCAGGAGGUCACCCAUCCUAGUACUACUCUCGCCCAAGCACGCUUAACUUCGGAGUUCUGAUGGGAUCCGGUGCUUUAGUGCUGGUAUGAUCGCAUCCGACAUACCGUGCGUUCUCCUCCCCUUUAUGCCCGCGCCUCCGUGUACGGCCCGCCCAUAGCUCCUUCGACGGCGCCGCCUAGGAACGCGGAGAAAAUAUGACAAAGGAACGGCCAAAAAUAAAAAGAAAGACCUUUCUUUUGAAAAAACAAACAAAUAAAAGGAAUGCAACACGAGGACUUCCCAGGAGGUCACCCAUCCUAGUACUACUCUCGCCCAAGCACGCUUAACUUCGGAGUUCUGAUGGGAUCCGGUGCUUUAGUGCUGGUAUGAUCGCAUUCGACAUACCGAUGCGUUCUCAUCCCCGUUAUGCGCCGCGCCUCUGUGUACGGCCCGCCCAUAGCUCCUUUGACUGCGCCUCGUAGGAUCGCGGAGAAUAUAUGACAAAGGCACGGCCAAACAUAAAACGAAAGACCUCUCUUUUGCAACAACAAACAAAAUAAAGGAAUGCAACACGAGGACUUCCCAGGAGGUCACCCAUCCUAGUACUAGUCUCGCUCAAGCACGCUGAUCUUCGGAGUUCUGAUGGGAUCCGGUGCUUUAGUGCUGGUAUGAUCGCAUCCGACAUACCGUGCGUUCUCCUCCCCUUUAUGCCCGCGCCUCCGUGUACGGCCCGCCCAUAGCUCCUUCGACGGCGCCGCCUAGGAACGCGGAGAAAAUAUGACAAAGGAACGGCCAAAAAUAAAAAGAAAGACCUUUCUUUUGAAAAAACAAACAAAAAAAAGGAAUGCAACACGAGGACUUCCCAGGAGGUCACCCAUCCUAGUACUACUCUCGCCCAAGCACGCUUAACUUCGGAGUUCUGAUGGGAUCCGGUGCUUUAGUGCUGGUAUGAUCGCAUCCGACAUACCGUGCGUUCUCCUCCCCUUUAUGCCCGCGCCUCCGUGUACGGCCCGCCCAUAGCUCCUUCGACGGCGCCGCCUAGGAACGCGGAGAAAAUAUGACAAAGGAACGGCCAAAAAUAAAAAGAAAGACCUUUCUUUUGAAAAAACAAACAAAUAAAAGGAAUGCAACACGAGGACUUCCCAGGAGGUCACCCAUCCUAGUACUACUCUCGCCCAAGCACGCUUAACUUCGGAGUUCUGAUGGGAUCCGGUGCUUUAGUGCUGGUAUGAUCGCAUCCGACAUACCGUGCGUUCUCCUCCCCUUUAUGCCCGCGCCUCCGUGUACGGCCCGCCCAUAGCUCCUUCGACGAGCCCGCCUAGGAACGCGGAGAAAAUAUGACAAAGGAACGGCCAAAAAUAAAAAGAAAGACCUUUCUUUUGAAAAAACAAACAAAUAAAAGGAAUGCAACACGAGGACUUCCCAGGAGGUCACCCAUCCUAGUACUACUCUCGCCCAAGCACGCUUAACUUCGGAGUUCUGAUGGGAUCCGGUGCUUUAGUGCUGGUAUGAUCGCAUCCGACAUACCGUGCGUUCUCCUCCCCUUUAUGCCCGCGCCUCCGUGUACGGCCCGCCCAUAGCUCCUUCGACGGCGCCGCCUAGGAACGCGGAGAAAAUAUGACAAAGGAACGGCCAAAAAUAAAAAGAAAGACCUUUCUUUUGAAAAAACAAACAAAAAAAAGGAAUGCAACACGAGGACUUCCCAGGAGGUCACCCAUCCUAGUACUACUCUCGCCCAAGCACGCUUAACUUCGGAGUUCUGAUGGGAUCCGGUGCUUUAGUGCUGGUAUGAUCGCAUCCGACAUACCGUGCGUUCUCCUCCCCUUUAUGCCCGCGCCUCCGUGUACGGCCCGCCCAUAGCUCCUUCGACGGCGCCGCCUAGGAACGCGGAGAAAAUAUGACAAAGGAACGGCCAAAAAUAAAAAGAAAGACCUUUCUUUUGAAAAAACAAACAAAUAAAAGGAAUGCAACACGAGGACUUCCCAGGAGGUCACCCAUCCUAGUACUACUCUCGCCCAAGCACGCUUAACUUCGGAGUUCUGAUGGGAUCCGGUGCUUUAGUGCUGGUAUGAUCGCAUCCGACAUACCGUGCGUUCUCCUCCCCUUUAUGCCCGCGCCUCCGUGUACGGCCCGCCCAUAGCUCCUUCGACGGCGCCGCCUAGGAACGCGGAGAAAAUAUGACAAAGGAACGGCCAAAAAUAAAAAGAAAGACCUUUCUUUUGAAAAAACAAACAAAUAAAAGGAAUGCAACACGAGGACUUCCCAGGAGGUCACCCAUCCUAGUACUACUCUCGCCCAAGCACGCUUAACUUCGGAGUUCUGAUGGGAUCCGGUGCUUUAGUGCUGGUAUGAUCGCAUCCGACAUACCGUGCGUUCUCCUCCCCUUUAUGCCCGCGCCUCCGUGUACGGUCCGCCCAUAGCUCUUUAGUUGGCGCCUCCUAGGAACGCGGAGAAAAUAUGACAAAGGAACGGCCAAAAAUAAAAAGAAAGACCUUUCUUUUGAAAAAACAAACGCCUCCGUGUACGGCCCGCCCAUAGCUCCUUCGACGGCGCCGCCUAGGAACGCGGAGAAAAUAUGACAAAGGAACGGCCAAAAAUAAAAAGAAAGACCUUUCUUUUGAAAAAACAAACAAAAAAAAGGAAUGCAACACGAGGACUUCCCAGGAGGUCACCCAUCCUAGUACUACUCUCGCCCAAGCACGCUUAACUUCGGAGUUCUGAUGGGAUCCGGUGCUUUAGUGCUGGUAUGAUCGCAUCCGACAUACCGUGCGUUCUCCUCCCCUUUAUGCCCGCGCCUCCGUGUACGGCCCGCCCAUAGCUCCUUCGACGGCGCCGCCUAGGAACGCGGAGAAAAUAUGACAAAGGAACGGCCAAAAAUAAAAAGAAAGACCUUUCUUUUGAAAAAACAAACAAAUAAAAGGAAUGCAACACGAGGAGUUCCCAGGAGGUCACCCAUCCUAGUACUACUCUCGCCCAAGCACGCUUAACUUCGGAGUUCUGAUGGGAUCCGGUGCUUUAGUGCUGGUAUGAUCGCAUCCGACAUACCGUGCGUUCUCCUCCCCUUUAUGCCCGCGCCUCCGUGUACGGCCCGCCCAUAGCUCCUUCGAUGGCGCCGCCUAGGAACGCGGAGAAAAUAUGACAAAGGAACGGCCAAAAAUAAAAAGAAAGACCUUUCUUUUGAAAAAACAAACGCCUCCGUGUACGGCCCGCCCAUAGCUCCUUCGACGGCGCCGCCUAGGAACGCGGAGAAAAUAUGACAAAGGAACGGCCAAAAAUAAAAAGAAAGACCUUUCUUUUGAAAAAACAAACAAAAAAAAGGAAUGCAACACGAGGACUUCCCAGGAGGUCACCCAUCCUAGUACUACUCUCGCCCAAGCACGCUUAACUUCGGAGUUCGGAUGGGAUCCGGUGCUUUAGUGCUGGUAUGAUCGCAUCCGACAUACCGUGCGUUCUCCUCCCCUUUAUGCCCGCGCCUCCGUGUACGGCCCGCCCAUAGCUCCUUCGACGGCGCCGCCUAGGAACGCGGAGAAAAUAUGACAAAGGAACGGCCAAAAAUAAAAAGAAAGACCUUUCUUUUGAAAAAACAAACAAAUAAAAGGAAUGCAACACGAGGACUUCCCAGGAGGUCACCCAUCCUAGUACUACUCUCGCCCAAGCACGCUUAACUUCGGAGUUCUGAUGGGAUCCGGUGCUUUAGUGCUGGUAUGAUCGCAUCCGACAUACCGUGCGUUCUCCUCCCCUUUAUGCCCGCGCCUCCGUGUACGGCCCGCCCAUAGCUCCUUCGACGGCGCCGCCUAGGAACGCGGAGAAAAUAUGACAAAGGAACGGCCAAAAAUAAAAAGAAAGACCUUUCUUUUGAAAAAACAAACAAAAAAAAGGAAUGCAACACGAGGACUUCCCAGGAGGUCACCCAUCCUAGUACUACUCUCGCCCAAGCACGCUUAACUUCGCAGUUCUGAUGGGAUCCGGUGCUUUAGUGCUGGUAUGAUCGCAUCCGACAUACCGUGCGUUCUCCUCCCCUUUAUGCCCGCGCCUCCGUGUACGGCCCGCCCAUAGCUCCUUCGACGGCGCCGCCUAGGAACGCGGAGAAAAUAUGACAAAGGAACGGCCAAAAAUAAAAAGAAAGACCUUUCUUUUGAAAAAACAAACGGCUCCGUGUACGGCCCGCCCAUAGCUCCUUCGACGGCGCCGCCUAGGAACGCGGAGAAAAUAUGACAAAGGAACGGCCAAAAAUAAAAAGAAAGACCUUUCUUUUGAAAAAACAAACAAAAAAAAGGAAUGCAACACGAGGACUUCCCAGGAGGUCACCCAUCCUAGUACUACUCUCGCCCAAGCACGCUUAACUUCGGAGUUCUGAUGGGAUCCGGUGCUUUAGUGCUGGUAUGAUCGCAUCCGACAUACCGUGCGUUCUCCUCCCCUUUAUGCCCGCGCCUCCGUGUACGGCCCGCCCAUAGCUCCUUCGACGGCGCCGCCUAGGAACGCGGAGAAAAUAUGACAAAGGAACGGCCAAAAAUAAAAAGAAAGACCUUUCUUUUGAAAAAACAAACAAAUAAAAGGAAUGCAACACGAGGACUUCCCAGGAGGUCACCCAUCCUAGUACUACUCUCGCCCAAGCACGCUUAACUUCGGAGUUCUGAUGGGAUCCGGUGCUUUAGUGCUGGUAUGAUCGCAUCCGACAUACCGUGUGUCGACGAAAGCUGGUCGGCAGUCUACCUUGGGGUAUACCCACGGUAGUAGUUUAUCGGUAGACGGUGCGCAAACUACGAACUCGAUGGUGACGCAAGACACGGACAAGCUUUUUAUCCAGGUUCGGCCGCCGAGUUGGCGUAAUACCUACGUCCUGCGUCUGGUUGUAUUGGAUUGUGUUUAGAGAUAAUCUACCCUAGGGGGUCCCCUUGCCCCUCCUUAUAUAGUCUGGAGGGCAGGGUUACAGAUCUAGAAACUAAUCCUAGCCGGUUACAAUUGCCAUAGAUAAUUCGAUAUCAAUUCCUAUUCUAACCGACUAGAAUCCUGCUUGAUCUCCACGUCCUGUUUCCUUGCGCGAAACUCGGGCUAUCGGAUCAAGCCUUGAACUCGUCUCGUAGUGGGCCAAGCUUCCUAGCUGAAGUCUAGCCGUAAGGGUAUAGGGGUUUAUACCCCCACAGCUAGUCCCCGAGCGCCAUGUAUUGUGACGCAACACUCCGUCUUGAGCUUCUUCGAUCAGCGUGGUCUGUCGUCUUCAAUGAGCGGGGAAAUCGCCCAAACGGUUCAUUGAUCAACGUUGUCAUCGAAGAAGCAGGUUGUUCGAAGAAUGCAUGGUGCUCUAAAAAAAAUUUCUUUCCUGGUGAAGUGUGCCCACUUUGCCUUUCUGAAAGGUAGAAGCAACAAAAAAGCAAGCAAAUUCACCGCUAGGUGAAGUGUGCCCACUUAGUCCCCGAGCCUGGUAGUAGGUGUCGUAGGCACGUGGUGCCAGGGUCAAAAGAAAAUUCCCCAAAGUAGUUUUGGGACUGAGAUGCAUCGUACCGAUGUAGUCCCCGAGCUUGCUGGAAGGCGAAGUAUGAGCCUUGUAGCAAGGUCUAAAAAAUUGAAUUUACCAGUCCCCGAGCAUGUCAUGCUCGUCUGCAAUCGAAAAGACCAAUCGACCAGUCCCCAGGCACUUAGUGUGCUGCCUGGAAUUACAUGUUACUAUACUGUACGACCAGUCCCCGAGCAUCGAGUGCUCAGUGGUCGGUGCAUGCUUUAAAGCUUUGAGCUGAUAGACUGAGCGACCAGUCCCCGAGCGUCGAGUGCUCGGUGGUCGGUGAAGUCUUUGAAGUUCCGAGCUGAUAAACUGGGCGACCAGUCCCCGAGCGUCGAGUGCUCGGUGGUCGGUGCAGUCUUUGAAGUUCCGAGCUAAUAAACUGGGCGACCAGUCCCCGAGCGUCGAGUGCUCGGUGGUCGGUGCAGUCUUUGAAGUUCCGAGCUAAUAAACUGGGCGACCAGUCCCCGAGCGUCGAGUGCUCGGUGGUCGGUGCAGUCCCCGGAUUGCUGACUCACUGGCGUAUGUGUCUUCUUACUUUUGAAAAGGUCUUUCAAAUUUAAAGUUGACGUGACGGGGUCUCCUGACGAUAUGUCAGACGGAUGCAUGAAAAGCUGUGCCUGGCAACUGUACAACCGCUCUUUGCNNNNNNNNNNNNNNNNNNNNNNNNNNNNNNNNNNNNNNNNNNNNNNNNNNNNNNNNNNNNNNNNNNNNNNNNNNNNNNNNNNNNNNNNNNNNNNNNNNNNCGUUCUCCUCCCCUUUAUGCCCGCGCCUCCGUGUCCGUAAAGGGCAUAGCUCCUUCGACGGCGCCGCCGUAGGAACGCUGAGAAGAUAUGACAAAGGAACGGCCAAAAAUAAAAAGAAAGACCUUUCUUUUGAAAAAACAAACAAAAAAAAGGAAUGCAACACGAGGACUUCCCAGGAGGUCACCCAUCCUAGUACUACUCUCGCCCAAGCACGCUUAACUUCGGAGUUCUGAUGGGAUCCGGUGCUUUAGUGCUGGUAUGAUCGCAUCCGACAUACCGUGCGUUCUCCUCCCCUUUAUGCCCGCGCCUCCGUGUACGGCCGGCCCAUAGCUCCUUCGACGGCGCCGCCUAGGAACGCGGAGAAAAUAUGACAAAGGAAUUUUUUUAAAUAAAAAGAAAGACCUUUCUUUUGAAAAAACAAACGAAAAAAAGGAAUGCAACACGAGGACUUCCCAGGAGGUCACCCAUCCUAGUACUACUCUCGCCCAAGCACGCUUAACUUCGGAGUUCUGAUGGGAUCCGGUGCUUUAGUGCUGGUAUGAUCGCAUCCGACAUACCGUGCGUUCUCCUCCCCUUUAUGCCCGCGCCUCCGUGUACGGCCCGCCCAUAGCUCCUUCGACGGCGCCGCCUAAGAACGCGGAAAAAAUAUGACAAAGGAACGGCCAAAAAUAAAAAAAAAAAACCUUUCUUUUGAAAAAANNNNNNNNNNNNNNNNNNNNNNNNNNNNNNNNNNNNNNNNNNNNNNNNNNNNNNNNNNNNNNNNNNNNNNNNNNNNNNNNNNNNNNNNNNNNNNNNNNNNAAAAGGAAUGCAACACGAGGACUUCCCAGGAGGUCACCCAUCCUAGUACUACUCUCGCCCAAGCACGCUUAACUUCGGAGUUCUGAUGGGAUCCGGUGCUUUAGUGCUGGUAUGAUCGCAUCCGACAUACCGUGCGUUCUCCUCCCCUUUAUGCCCGCGCCUCCGUGUUACGGCCCGCCCAUAGCUCCUUCGACGGCGCCGCCUAGGAACGCGGAGAAAAUAUGACAAAGGAACGGCCAAAAAUCAAAAGAAAGACCUUUCUUUUGAAAAAACACACGCCUCCGUGUACGGCCCGCCCAUAGCUCCUUCGACGGCGCCGCCUAGGAACGCGGAGAAAAUAUGACAAAGGAACGGCCAAAAAUAAAAAGAAAGACCUUUCUUUUGAAAAAACAAACAAAUAAAAGGAAUGCAACACGAGGACUUCCCAGGAGGUCACCCAUCCUAGUACUACUCUCGCCCAAGCACGCUUAACUUCGGAGUUCUGAUGGGAUCCGGUGCUUUAGUGCUGGUAUGAUCGCAUCCGACAUACCGUGCGUUCUCCUCCCCUUUAUGCCCGCGCCUCCGUGUACGGCCCGCCCAUAGCUCCUUCGACGGCGCCGCCUAGGAACGCGGAGAAAAUAUGACAAAGGAACGGCCAAAAAUAAAAAGAAAGACCUUUCUUUUGAAAAAACAAACAAAUAAAAGGAAUGCAACACGAGGACUUCCCAGGAGGUCACCCAUCCUAGUACUACUCUCGCCCAAGCACGCUUAACUUCGGAGUUCUGAUGGGAUCCGGUGCUUUAGUGCUGGUAUGAUCGCAUCCGACAUACCGUGCGUUCUCCUCCCCUUUAUGCCCGCGCCUCCGUGUACGGCCCGCCCAUAGCUCCUUCGACGGCGCCGCCUAGGAACGCGGAGAAAAUAUGACAAAGGAACGGCCAAAAAUAAAAAGAAAGACCUUUCUUUUGAAAAAACAAACGCCUCCGUGUACGGCCCGCCCAUAGCUCCUUCGACGGCGCCGCCUAGGAACGCGGAGAAAAUAUGACAAAGGAACGGCCAAAAAUAAAAAGAAAGACCUUUCUUUUGAAAAAACAAACAAAAAAAAGGAAUGCAACACGAGGACUUCCCAGGAGGUCACCCAUCCUAGUACUACUCUCGCCCAAGCACGCUUAACUUCGGAGUUCUGAUGGGAUCCGGUGCUUUAGUGCUGGUAUGAUCGCAUCCGACAUACCGUGCGUUCUCCUCCCCUUUAUGCCCGCGCCUCCGUGUACGGCCCGCCCAUAGCUCCUUCGACGGCGCCGCCUAGGAACGCGGAGAAAAUAUGACAAAGGAACGGCCAAAAAUAAAAAGAAAGACCUUUCUUUUGAAAAAACAAACAAAUAAAAGGAAUGCAACACGAGGACUUCCCAGGAGGUCACCCAUCCUAGUACUACUCUCGCCCAAGCACGCUUAACUUCGGAGUUCUGAUGGGAUCCGGUGCUUUAGUGCUGGUAUGAUCGCAUCCGACAUACCGUGCGUUCUCCUCCCCUUUAUGCCCGCGCCUCCGUGUACGGCCCGCCCAUAGCUCCUUCGACGGCGCCGCCUAGGAACGCGGAGAAAAUAUGACAAAGGAACGGCCAAAAAUAAAAAGAAAGACCUUUCUUUUGAAAAAACAAACGCCUCCGUGUACGGCCCGCCCAUAGCUCCUUCGACGGCGCCGCCUAGGAACGCGGAGAAAAUAUGACAAAGGAACGGCCAAAAAUAAAAAGAAAGACCUUUCUUUUGAAAAAACAAACAAAAAAAAGGAAUGCAACACGAGGACUUCCCAGGAGGUCACCCAUCCUAGUACUACUCUCGCCCAAGCACGCUUAACUUCGGAGUUCUGAUGGGAUCCGGUGCUUUAGUGCUGGUAUGAUCGCAUCCGACAUACCGUGCGUUCUCCUCCCCUUUAUGCCCGCGCCUCCGUGUACGGCCCGCCCAUAGCUCCUUCGACGGCGCCGCCUAGGAACGCGGAGAAAAUAUGACAAAGGAACGGCCAAAAAUAAAAAGAAAGACCUUUCUUUUGAAAAAACAAACAAAUAAAAGGAAUGCAACACGAGGACUUCCCAGGAGGUCACCCAUCCUAGUACUACUCUCGCCCAAGCACGCUUAACUUCGGAGUUCUGAUGGGAUCCGGUGCUUUAGUGCUGGUAUGAUCGCAUCCGACAUACCGUGCGUUCUCCUCCCCUUUAUGCCCGCGCCUCCGUGUACGGCCCGCCCAUAGCUCCUUCGACGGCGCCGCCUAGGAACGCGGAGAAAAUAUGACAAAGGAACGGCCAAAAAUAAAAAGAAAGACCUUUCUUUUGAAAAAACAAACAAAAAAAAGGAAUGCAACACGAGGACUUCCCAGGAGGUCACCCAUCCUAGUACUACUCUCGCCCAAGCACGCUUAACUUCGGAGUUCUGAUGGGAUCCGGUGCUUUAGUGCUGGUAUGAUCGCAUCCGACAUACCGUGCGUUCUCCUCCCCUUUAUGCCCGCGCCUCCGGGUACGGUCCUCCCAUAGCUCCGUCAACGGCCCGCCUAGGAACGCGGAGAAAAUAUGACAAAGGAACGGCCAAAAAUAAAAAGAAAGCCCUUUCUUUUGAAAAGACAACCGAAUAAAAGGAAUGCCACGCGAGGACUUCCCAGGAGGUCACCCAUCAUAGUACUACUCUCGCCCAAGCACGCUUAACUUCGGAGUUCUGAUGGGAUCCGGUGCUUUAGUGCUGGUAUGAUCGCAUCCGACAUACCGCGCGUUCUCCUCCCCUUAAGGCCCGCGCCUCCGUGUACGGCCCGCCCAUAGCUCCUUAGACGGCACCUCCUAGGAACGCGGAGAAAAUAUGACAAAGGAACGGCCAAAAAUAAAAAGAAAGACCUUUCUUUUGAAAAAACAAACGCCUCCGUGUACGGCCCGCCCAUAGCUCCUUCGACGGCGCCGCCUAGGAACGCGGAGAAAAUAUGACAAAGGAACGGCCAAAAAUAAAAAGAAAGACCUUUCUUUUGAAAAAACAAACAAAAAAAAGGAAUGCAACACGAGGACUUCCCAGGAGGUCACCCAUCCUAGUACUACUCUCGCCCAAGCACGCUUAACUUCGGAGUUCUGAUGGGAUCCGGUGCUUUAGUGCUGGUAUGAUCGCAUCCGACAUACCGUGCGUUCUCCUCCCCUUUAUGCCCGCGCCUCCGUGUACGGCCCGCCCAUAGCUCCUUCGACGGCGCCGCCUAGGAACGCGGAGAAAAUAUGACAAAGGAACGGCCAAAAAUAAAAAGAAAGACCUUUCUUUUGAAAAAACAAACGCCUCCGCGUACGGCCCGCCCAUAGCUCCUUCGACGGCGCCGCCUAGGAACGCGGAGAAAAUAUGACAAAGGAACGGCCAAAAAUAAAAAGAAAGACCUUUCUUUUGAAAAAACAAACAAAAAAAAGGAAUGCAACACGAGGACUUCCCAGGAGGUCACCCAUCCUAGUACUACUCUCGCCCAAGCACGCUUAACUUCGGAGUUCUGAUGGGAUCCGGUGCUUUAGUGCUGGUAUGAUCGCAUCCGACAUACCGUGCGUUCUCCUCCCCUUUAUGCCCGCGCCUCCGUGUACGGCCCGCCCAUAGCUCCUUCGACGGCGCCGCCUAGGAACGCGGAGAAAAUAUGACAAAGGAACGGCCAAAAAUAAAAAGAAAGACCUUUCUUUUGAAAAAACAAACAAAUAAAAGGAAUGCAACACGAGGACUUCCCAGGAGGUCACCCAUCCUAGUACUACUCUCGCCCAAGCACGCUUAACUUCGGAGUUCUGAUGGGAUCCGGUGCUUUAGUGCUGGUAUGAUCGCAUCCGACAUACCGUGCGUUCUCCUCCCCUUUAUGCCCGCGCCUCCGUGUACGGCCCGCCCAUAGCUCCUUCGACGGCGCCGCCUAGGAACGCGGAGAAAAUAUGACAAAGGAACGGCCAAAAAUAAAAAGAAAGACCUUUCUUUUGAAAAAACAAACAAAUAAAAGGAAUGCAACACGAGGACUUCCCAGGAGGUCACCCAUCCUAGUACUACUCUCGCCCAAGCACGCUUAACUUCGGAGUUCUGAUGGGAUCCGGUGCUUUAGUGCUGGUAUGAUCGCAUCCGACAUACCGUGCGUUCUCCUCCCCUUUAUGCCCGCGCCUCCGUGUACGGCCCGCCCAUAGCUCCUUCGACGGCGCCGCCUAGGAACGCGGAGAAAAUAUGACAAAGGAACGGCCAAAAAUAAAAAGAAAGACCUUUCUUUUGAAAAAACAAACGCCUCCGUGUACGGCCCGCCCAUAGCUCCUUCGACGGCGCCGCCUAGGAACGCGGAGAAAAUAUGACAAAGGAACGGCCAAAAAUAAAAAGAAAGACCUUUCUUUUGAAAAAACAAACAAAAAAAAGGAAUGCAACACGAGGACUUCCCAGGAGGUCACCCAUCCUAGUACUACUCUCGCCCAAGCACGCUUAACUUCGGAGUUCUGAUGGGAUCCGGUGCUUUAGUGCUGGUAUGAUCGCAUCCGACAUACCGUGCGUUCUCCUCCCCUUUAUGCCCGCGCCUCCGUGUACGGCCCGCCCAUAGCUCCUUCGACGGCGCCGCCUAGGAACGCGGAGAAAAUAUGACAAAGGAACGGCCAAAAAUAAAAAGAAAGACCUUUCUUUUGAAAAAACAAACAAAUAAAAGGAAUGCAACACGAGGACUUCCCAGGAGGUCACCCAUCCUAGUACUACUCUCGCCCAAGCACGCUUAACUUCGGAGUUCUGAUGGGAUCCGGUGCUUUAGUGCUGGUAUGAUCGCAUCCGACAUACCGUGCGUUCUCCUCCCCUUUAUACCCGCGCCUCCGUGUACGGCCCGCCCAUAGCUCCUUCGACGGCGCCGCCUAGGAACGCGGAGAAAAUAUGACAAAGGAACGGCCAAAAAUAAAAAGAAAGACCUUUCUUUUGAAAAAACAAACAAAUAAAAGGAAUGCAACACGAGGACUUCCCAGGAGGUCACCCAUCCUAGUACUACUCUCGCCCAAGCACGCUUAACUUCGGAGUUCUGAUGGGAUCCGGUGCUUUAGUGCUGGUAUGAUCGCAUCCGACAUACCGUGCGUUCUCCUCCCCUUUAUGCCCGCGCCUCCGUGUACGGCCCGCCCAUAGCUCCUUCGACGGCGCCGCCUAGGAACGCGGAGAAAAUAUGACAAAGGAACGGCCAAAAAUAAAAAGAAAGACCUUUCUUUUGAAAAAACAAACGCCUCCGUGUACGGCCCGCCCAUAGCUCCUUCGACGGCGCCGCCUAGGAACGCGGAGAAAAUAUGACAAAGGAACGGCCAAAAAUAAAAAGAAAGACCUUUCUUUUGAAAAAACAAACAAAAAAAAGGAAUGCAACACGAGGACUUCCCAGGAGGUCACCCAUCCUAGUACUACUCUCGCCCAAGCACGCUUAACUUCGGAGUUCUGAUGGGAUCCGGUGCUUUAGUGCUGGUAUGAUCGCAUCCGACAUACCGUGCGUUCUCCUCCCCUUUAUACCCGCGCCUCCGUGUACGGCCCGCCCAUAGCUCCUUCGACGGCGCCGCCUAGGAACGCGGAGAAAAUAUGACAAAGGAACGGCCAAAAAUAAAAAGAAAGACCUUUCUUUUGAAAAAACAAGCAAAAAAAAGGAAUGCAACACGAGGACUUCCCAGGAGGUCACCCAUCCUAGUACUACUCUCGCCCAAGCACGCUUAACUUCGGAGUUCUGAUGGGAUCCGGUGCUUUAGUGCUGGUAUGAUCGCAUCCGACAUACCGUGCGUUCUCCUCCCCUUUAUGCCCGCGCCUCCGUGUACGGCCCGCCCAUAGCUCCUUCGACAGCGCCGCCUAGGAACGCGGAGAAAAUAUGACAAAGGAACGGCAAAAAAUAAAAAGAAAGACCUUUCUUUUGAAAAAACAAACAAAAAAAAGGAAUGCAACACGCGGACUUCCCAGGAGGUCACCCAUCCUAGUACUACUCUCGCCUAAGCACGCUUAACUUCGGAGUNN
rnacentral:lncRNA from 1 species